CCCAAAACCUAAGUCCAAAAUCUGAAACCCAUUAACCUUACCUCUUCUCCCAAUUCCCACACACGGAUGCACAUCUUGGUUCUUCUUCAUUUUAGGGUUCGCGACAAGCCAUCACCCGCCGCCACCACUUCUUCCUCCUUCACAAUCGGAUAGCGGCCUCUUCCCUUUCCUUCACUGCCACUGGCCGUUCAUCCACAGUCCAUUCUUCUUCUUCUUGAUUCCAAGUGGUGAGCGGCAGCGACAAUCUUUAAGGCAGUAGUGAAUUUCGGGACGACUCCGUUUGAGCUCAGCUCAUCAGAGAGGUUUCUUCGGUGUUCUCUUCUACUUCCCUUGCUCCCUAGAGUCCUUACUGUAGUGACAGUAGCAGCGCACUUCAAGAGGCAGUGGCGGUAGCGAGCUUCGAGCAUCUACCUCACCAGAGGGGUUCUCCGGUGUGACCUCCACCUUCCAGAUUCCUUCAGACAACUUUACCAUAUGAGGUUCAGGCGGCAGAGCAAGAAGGAGUAGCGGUAGUUCAUCCCAUUUCACAAAGUAUUCUCAAAGCCGGCCAACUUCAUUUGGAGAGGGUUUCUUCAAGUGAAGAGUCAUCUCAUUGUUGUUGUCAAAGUAUUCGGCUACUAGUACUGUGUCGGUGAUCUCUUCGGUCUUGAAUUCCUCUGAUGACGAGGUGAUGUCCAUCGAAGAGUCGGAUGAUGAAAUGAUGCCCAUCGAAGAGUCAGAUUCUUCUUUUCUUGGAUUGUGGAGUUCCAAGAACUUUCGUAGGCGUCGAUUUUUCUGAGUUCUUGAGCAGGGAAUUAAAGAAGAGCCAUGGAUAUGAGUCAAAUCAAACCGAUUGACUCAGAGCUAUAGAUCUAAAGUCGGUUCAAUUUGAGAAUAUUUGGUCCAAGUCAAAUGAAGAGUUGGGUUCAUCUAGCUCAAUCAAGAAAGAUAUCACCUUCGAAUGGUUUCAACCUUAAACCCAAUCCUCAAGCCCAAUUUUGAAGUCCAAUCUUGAAGGCCAAUUUCAUAGUCCAAUAUCAAUCUCUCUUAUCAAAUCCAGAUCCAAACUUCCUAUGAACCCAAAACCUAAGUCCAAAAUCGGAAACCCAUUAGCCUUACCUCUUCUCCCAAUUCCCACACAUGGAUGCACAUCUUAGUUCUUCUUCAUUUUAGGGUUCGCGACAAGCCAUCACCUGCCACCACCACUUCUUCCUCCUUCACAAUCGGAUAGCGGCCUCUUCCCUUUCCUUCACUGCGACUGGCCGUCCAUCCACAGUCCAUUCUUCUUCUUCUUGAUUCCAAGUGGUGAGUGGCAACGACACUCUUCAAGGAGGUAGUGAAUUUCGGGACAACUCCGUUUGAGCUCAACUCAUUGGAGAGGUUUCUCCGGUGUUCUCUUCUACUUCCCUUGCUCCCUAGAGUCCUUACUGUAGUGACAGUAGCAGCGCAAUUCAAGAGGCAUUGGCAGUAGCGAGCUUCGAGCAUCUACCUCACCAGAGGGGUUCUCCGGUGUGACCUCCACCUUCCAAAUUAUUUCAGACAACUUUACUAUCUAAGCUUCAGGCGGCAGAGCAAGAAGGAGUAGCGGUAGUUCAUCCCAUUUCACAAAGUAUUCUCAAAGCCAGCCAACUUCAUUUGGAGAGGGUUUCUUCAAGUGAAGAGUCAUCCCAUCGUUGUUGUCAAAGUAAGUAGCAGACUGACAGUGUGCUAUUGUUCACCAAAGUUAGGGAUUCUAUCUCUGGGCCCUUGUGUGACGGCAAGGCUAGUCCUUUGGCAUUGAAAGUUGAGUGUGGAUUGUGGAGUGGUAACUUGCUUUAUUCAUGUUGAUAUUUAUUAAUUAUGGUUGA